rnacentral:misc_RNA from 1 species
UUAAGUUCAGCGGGUAUUCCUACCUGAUCCGAGGUCAACCUGAAAAAAUAUGGGGUUGUUGGUCGCCAACCGUCAGUACCCAGAACGAGAUGUUAUACUACGUUCGGGACCUAGCGGUGCCGCCACUGAGUUUAGGGACCGCCACUUCUGGCGUAUCCCAAUACCAAGCAGAGCUUGAGUGGUGUUAAUGACGCUCGAAC